GCGACCCCAGGUCAGGCGGGACUACCCNNUGAGUUUAAGCAUAUC
rnacentral:rRNA from 1 species